ensembl:antisense Gm20680 predicted gene 20680
GUGUCGGGAGAGCGGUGUUCAGCACGGCAGCUGCUACGGAGCAAGGCAGAGAGACAGGUGCUCAAGCGCCUAGCCAUGACGCGGCACAGUUCCAGUCCCAAGGGAUCUGGCACGAAAAUGCCCCCAGUGGGGGCAGUGGGCACGGGGCAGCUGCAAUUCCCUUGAUUCUUGAAGGGCUGGCACAUGCAACAUCUCUCAUUCCCCCCCUCCCUUGGGUCAGUAGACAUGUAGGUUCGAGGACCAGAGGUUGAGUCUUCUUGCAGUCUUUCUUGUUGGUCAUGGGGUAGAUGCUGUUGAGGGGGUAGGGGACAGUCUCAGGCAGCUGGCUGAAGGAAGGCAGGCCUGCUGGCCAGCUUGGUGUCCUGGCCUAGUGUGCGGAGGCAGUGCAGGGGCUCUGUGGCUGGGUGCCUAUGACACUGGAUCCAGAAUCCAGGAUUGUUGCCCCGGGUGAGCAGCGGGUUCUGAGUCCAACAUGGUAAAUACCCACUCAGGGGUUGCAGCAUAAGGUGGUGGGGGUCUGGUGCAGUCCUGGGGAGAGUUGCCGUUACCUUGGAGACCAGCUAAAGGUGGCUUGAAAGUUCCCCCCGUGGGAGAGGCCGCGGUCAGUCCUGGGAGGGCAGCCACAGUUGCUGUAGGGAUUGUCCACUGGCUUCAACAGGGCCUCCACUCUGGGAGCCACCAGCUGCCACACUCUCCAGUCCUUUGCUCUCCUCCUCGGCUGGAAGCUGGGCAUCCACUCCCACCUCCAAUACUCGGAUGGUCUCGUGGCCUGACAUCACAAUGACCUGC